rnacentral:rRNA from 1 species
GAAGCAACGCGCAGAACCUUACCAGCCUUUGACAUGUCCAGGACGGAUACCAGAGAUGGUUUCUUCUCUUCGGAGCCUGGAGCACAGGUGCUGCAUGGCUGUCGUCAGCUCGUGUCGUGAGAUGUUGGGUUAAGUCCCGCAACGAGCGCAACCCUUGUCGUUAAUUGCCAUCAUUCAGUUGGGCACUUUAAUGAGACUGCCGGUGACAAACCGGAGGAAGGUGGGGAUGACGUCAAGUCCUCAUGGCCCUUAUGGGUAGGGCUUCACACGUCAUACAAUGGUCGGUCCAGAGGGUUGCCAACCCGCGAGGGGGAGCUAAUCUCAGAAAGCCGAUCGUAGUCCGGAUUGCAGUCUGCAACUCGACUGCAUGAAGUCGGAAUCGCUAGUAAUCGCGGAUCAGCAUGUCGCGGUGAAUACGUUCCCGGGUCUUGUACACACCGCCCGUCACACCAUGGGAGCGGGUUCUGCCAGAAGUAGUUAGCCUAACCGCAAGGAGGGCGAUUACCACGGCAGGGUUCGUGACUGGGGUGAAGUCGUAACAAGGUAGCCGUAGGGGAACC